rnacentral:rRNA from 1 species
GGGAUAACGUUCCGAAAGGGACGCUAAUACCGGAUGUGAAUGUUAAAACGCUGGUUUUAACAAGAAAGGUGGGGACCGCAAGGCCUGCCGCUAACGGAACGGCCCGCGACCUAUUAGCUAGUUGGUGGGUAAAGGCCUACCAAGGCGAGGAUGGGUAGCCGAACUGAGAGGUUGACCGGCCACACUGGGACUGAGACACUGCCCAGACUUCUACGGAAGGCUGCAGUCGAGAAUCAUUCACAAUGGACGAAAGUCUGAUGAUGCGACGCCGCGUGCGCGAAUGAAGGUCUCCGGAUUGUAAAGCGCUUUGAACAGGGAAGAAUGCCGCGUAUUUAAUAGAUAACGCGGAGGGACAGUACCUGACAAACAAGCCCCGGCUAAUUUCGUGCCAGCCGCCGC